CAAAAUGUUUCAAAAAGGUUUAUGAUGUAGAUCACAAACACUGAUCAUGACUUGAAGUCGGCAUAAGUACACAUGUACACAUUUCUUGUACAUAUGUACACAUCUACAUGUUAGGAAUACAGUUAUAGAUGUUUUCAAACUAUGUUGU